rnacentral:rRNA from 1 species
UACGUAGGGGCGAGCGUUGUCCGGAAUUAUUGGGCGUAAAGGGUUCGUAGGCGGUAAUACAUGUCAGAUGUGAAAUCUUGUGGCUUAACCACAUCAAGCAUCUGAAACUGUAUAACUUGAGUGGAGGAGAGGUAAGUGGAAUUCCUAGUGUAGCGGUGAAAUGCGUAGAUAUUAGGAAGAAUACCAGUAGCGAAGGCGACUUACUGGCCUCUAACUGACGCUGAUGAACGAAAGCGUGGGUAGCAAACAGGAUUAGAUACCCCCGUAGU